GAAAUGCGAUAAGUAAUGUGAAUUGCAGAAUUCAGUGAAUCAUCGAAUCUUUGAACGCACAUUGCGCCCUGUGGUAUUCCGCAGGGCAUGCCUGUUCGAGCGUCAGUACAACACUCAAGCUCAGCUUGGUCUUGAGCCUAGCCGGUCACGGCGGGCUUUAAAAUUAGUGGCGGUGCCACCUGGCUCUAAGCGUAGUAAUACUCCUCGCUAUUGAGUUCUGGUGGACGCUGGCCAGCAACCCCCAACUUUCUAAGUUUGACCUCGGAUCAGGUAGGGAUACCCGCUGAACUUAA
rnacentral:misc_RNA from 1 species